AACGUAACAAGGUUUCCGUAGGUGAACCUGCGGAAGGAUCAUUAACACGUAUCCAACGUUAAACAACCCGUGAACCUUCAUGUUUCGUGUCUUACUUUUUAACUUCGAGGGCGUCUGGUAACUCACGUGAACAGAUUGACUCAGACAUUCUUGAAGAAAAAGGGUAAGAUGCUUGUGCAUUAGGUGAGGGCGUCUAACGCUUGUGAGUGAAGGACAAUUUCUUGACUGACAUCGUUGGAUCGAGCCUGCCGUUAAGUGGGUGAGAUUCCUGUUGGUCUUGGAAAUCGGUGCAGCCACACGCUUCAUCGGACCUCAUCUCAGGGAUAAUCCCCCCUUUCUAUUCACCACUCCUACGCAAACGCUCGCCGGCAUGGUCCCGCUUGAGCAUUCAAAAAACCGAACAACUGUUAACAAUGGAUAUCUUGGUUCUC
rnacentral:misc_RNA from 1 species